rnacentral:lncRNA from 1 species
UGCUCAACAACUCCGGCUCAUUUACACCUAGGCGCAGGCGCACACCUAUCUAACCUAGUAGCACGCACGCACACAUGCAGCCUCCUAAUCCCAUCUUCUCUUCCGGUUGCGCCGCCACCCAGAGACACUCGCACACGCAACGCCUAUCAACCCUCACACGAUCCCCAUUCACCCCUCUCCUUCGUUUUCCGUGCCGAUCGGUACCCUACCGGGCACCUAAUCCGACCAUCGCCGCCUCCCGCACGGAUUGGCGGCCUCCUCUGCCCAAGCGCCUCUGGCUCCUGUGCCGCUCUCCUCCUAGUGCCUGCUGCCGACCAUGGCUUGGUCUGGUGCAGCGGUGGCCUGGUUCAUCGUCCUCUGGCGGCUGGCCUAUGCGCGCGGAGGCGCGGGAGGUGGUGUGGCACAGCGUUGGCAUGUGGCUGCCGGCGGGUGGCGCAAGAUGUUGAACAUGUCUUCGGACUGACGCUAUCAAUCUUCAAUCUUUUUCUGUAUCUUCUCAGCUCUGUCUCGAGCUUUCCUAUUAGGAUGGGCUCCACAAACUGCUUUUUGUUGGAUUCAUGCGCCUCUCCUAUUUGAUUGGCCGUAUCCCCUCCUCUUUCUUUCUUUUGGCUUGUUGGUUCUUCAAUUUGGAACAUUAUAUAAGCCGCUAGGAUUUGAUGUAAAGUGUAGGGGUGAGACUAUUAAUUUGAAUCUAAAAUUUUGGCACAAACUCUGUUUGUUGCAGUCAUAGGGGAGGGGCAGUAUGUUGUGAGGUCAAACGCUUUUAGCAGCCCCUAAUAAAAAGCUUUAGUGGCCCGCAGCGGCACCAUGGCUGUCGGCCGGCGAGGGCCUCACCGAGGCUGUUGGCUGACGAGCACAGGGGAGAUUGGGUGUUGGGAUGGAGACACACCUACAGGGGGCCAGGGUCACCAGAGGUGAAGGAGAGACCGGGAGGGCCGAAGGCGGAGAGGAGAGUAGAACGACCGACGAAGGCGCAUGACAGGCUGGGAGCGCCGGAACUGGAGGGGAGAGCCGGACGGCCUACGAGAGCCUUCCACCUUCCGUGCCACAGGAUAAGAUGAACAAGGGAGCGCGGGCGGAAUUCUUAUAAAAUGCAGGGAUUUUUACACAAAAACGAAACAUUUUCCUAGAGUGUCACUUAUACAGAGACUGCAGGUUGAUUUCGAAGAAACAAAGGUCUUUUUUAAAAAAAGCCGACGAUCGUAUGGAUUGAAACGAUCCUUUAUUAUAAUAGGUAUAGUUACGUUCUUCAUUGCACAUACAUCCACACAUAUCAAUGUACUGUAC